CUUUAUGGUGGCUGUGCGCAGGGCACCCUCGUGGUGCGCCGGGUUCCCAAUGUUCCGGUCGACUAACCUGCGUACAGCUGCCACCCAC
rnacentral:antisense_RNA from 1 species